rnacentral:rRNA from 1 species
CCCAGACAGCCAGGAUGUUGGCUUAGAAGCAGCCAUCAUUUAAAGAAAGCGUAAUAGCUCACUGGUCGAGUCGGCCUGCGCGGAAGAUGUAACGGGGCUAAACCAUGCACCGAAGCUGCGGCAGCGACACUGAUGUGUUGUUGGGUAGGGGAGCGUUCUGUAAGCCUGUGAAGGUGGCCUGUGAGGGUUGCUGGAGGUAUCAGAAGUGCGAAUGCUGACAUAAGUAACGAUAAAGCGGGUGAAAAGCCCGCUCGCCGGAAGACCAAGGGUUCCUGUCCAACGUUAAUCGGGGCAGGGUGAGUCGACCCCUAAGGC